AUGACGAGGAACUUGUGCUUGAA
rnacentral:misc_RNA from 1 species